rnacentral:rRNA from 1 species
GAUGAACGCUGGCGGCGUGCUUAACACAUGCAAGUCGAACGGAAAGGCCCAAGCUUGCUUGGGUACUCGAGUGGCGAACGGGUGAGUAACACGUGGGUGAUCUGCCCUGCACUUCGGGAUAAGCCUGGGAAACUGGGUCUAAUACCGGAUAGGACCACAUUUUGGAUGGUGUGGUGGAAAGUUUUUCGGUGUGGGAUGAGCUCGCGGCCUAUCAGCUUGUUGGUGGGGUAAUGGCCUACCAAGGCGUCGACGGGUAGCCGGCCUGAGAAGGUGUACGGCCACAUUGGGACUGAGAUACGGCCCAGACUCCUACGGGAGGCAGCAGUGGGGAAUAUUGCACAAUGGGCGCAAGCCUGAUGCAGCGACGCCGCGUGGGGGAUGACGGCCUUCGGGUUGUAAACUCCUUUCGCUAGGGACGAAGCGUUUUUGUGACGGUACCUGGAGAAGAAGCACCGGCUAACUACGUG